UUUUUGGGGCCUUUGAUUGAUUUUGAUCCAAAGGCUCAGAAUCUAUAUUUUUGUGAUCUCCGUCCUUCGUUCUGAUUGGUCGAAACAUAAUAUGUAUGGAUUGCAAAUCUUAGCCAUGGAUUAGAUUAAAUCAAUGGACAAGAUUGACUCUUGUUGUGUUUGUUCCAUUCAUCCUAUUUUACUUAUUAUUUUUUUUUGCUUCUUCUUCUUCAUUCAUCUGUUUGUUCUCUCUCGAAACCAACCAACACGACAAUUGUUUUUGCUUCUUCUUCUUCAAACCUUAAACUCAUAAUCCAUGGAUUAGACUAAGCAAGACGGUGUUACCAGCUGGAGUUUGUCCUCAUCCGAAGCCUGAAGGUUACCAGCCGUGGAGGCGACGGCGUUUUAUCUCCGUGUCAUAUUCUCAUAGAAAGUCCUUGUCUUUGUCUCGAUGCCAUUCAAAGGAGAUAUCUUAUCACCGGAGUCGGAACUAGCCGGAGUCGAAGAGAGAGUAUAGUCGGAGAUGUGUCAGAUUCUGUAAGCGGAGGAAGACAGUGAGACGAUGACACGGGAAGGAGAAUUGUUGGAGGAGUUCAUGAUGGUGGAUGAUGGAAGAGCACAGCAGAGGCGGAGGUGAAGCUCUAUGGCAAGAGGCGGAGAUGGAGCGAAGAGUUAGGGAUUUUUAGGGUUAAUUUUUUUGGUUAAUAUUUUGGUUUACGGUUAACCAAUUUUGUUUUAGUGUUGUUUUGGUUCAGUGUGUAAACUGAUUUAUUGGUAAACAGAUUAUAAUUAAUAAAAUGAAAUUUAUUUA